CUUCGGACAUGUUUUUCUUCUUGCCUGUGGAUCAAUUCCUCCUGGCUCAGACCCCUCCAGGACUCUGGCACUGAUCUCUCUUGGUCUCGGAUUUGAGGAAAUAAAAAUAGAAGAGGAAAAACACAGAACUCUCCAAAGCUUUGGAGUGGCUGCAGCCAUCUGGAUGGAGGCAGCAUGCGCCUGGGCUGGAAGAGCCACGGUCCCUUGACUGAGUCUCGGUGCUUCUCCCCGUCCCUCUCAGACACGGUUCUCAUGGUGGACGAGAUGGGGCCGGAUCUUAGGCCCGGGAUUCUGCAGAAUGCAAGGCUCAGAGCUUGCCUAGCUCUGAGUGGCUUGGAGACUGGUGUGAGGACUGAGGGUGUCCACAGAUCACCAACCCACACCGGCAGCCUGAGUUGGAAGACAGGUACGAACUACUGGCCGGCCAAGAGUCCCUCAGGUUCUGUGCGCAGGAGGGCCUGGAGUUUGGUUUCAUGCUUUUGUUCUUGCUGUCGUGAAUUUAUUCAUACCUUUUGAA
rnacentral:lncRNA from 1 species